AUUGAACGCUGGCGGAAUGCUUUACACAUGCAAGUCGAACGGCAGCACGGACUUCGGUCAGGUGGCGAGUGGCGAACGGGUGAGUAAUACAUCGGAACGUGCCCAGUCGUGGGGGAUAACGUAGCGAAAGCUACGCUAAUACCGCAUACGAUCUAAGGAUGAAAGCGGGGGAUCGCAAGACCUCGCGCGAUUGGAGCGGCCGAUGGCAGAUUAGGUAGUUGGUAGGGUAAAGGCCUACCAAGCCGACGAUCUGUAGCUGGUCUGAGAGGAGGAUCAGCCACACUGGGACUGAGACACGGCCCAGACUCCUACGGGAGGCAGCAGUGGGGAAUUUUGGACAAUGGGCGCAAGCCUGAUCCAGCCAUUCCGCGUGCAGGAUGAAGGCCUUCGGGUUGUAAACUGCUUUUAUACAGAACGAAAAGGCUCUGGUUAAUACCCGGGGCUCAUGACGGUACUGUAAGAAUAAGCACCGGCUAACUACGUGCCAGCCGCCGCGGUAA
rnacentral:rRNA from 1 species